rnacentral:rRNA from 1 species
CCCUUAGAUGUCCGGGGCCGCACGCGCGCUACACUGAAGGAAUCAGCGUGGCUUUCUCCCUGACCCGAAAGGGUUGGGAAACCCGUUGAAUCUCCUUCAUGAUAGGGAUUGGGGCUUGAAAUUGUUCCCCAUGAACGAGGAAUUCCCAGUAAGCGCGAGUCAUAAGCUCGCGUUGAUUACGUCCCUGCCCUUUGUACACACCGCCCGUCGCUACUACCGAUUGAACGGUUUAGUGAGGGCCUCGGAUUGGUCUCGGCCCGCUCUUUACCGGGCGGCGCCGUUGGUCGAGAAGACGCUCGAACUUGAUCGUUUAGAGGAAGUAAAAGUCGUAACA